rnacentral:lncRNA from 1 species
AUGAGGUUUCCUGAGGUGGUACCAUGGGGGGAGAUUUCAGGACAGUUUUGGAAGACUACACAGAGAACAACUUGGAUCCCAGUGCGAAUGAACAGACGUGAUUUACAAGAUUCUGAUACCUGCUGGUCAUAUGCUGGCCAUCCCUCAAGAUGGCAGAUAAGCUGCAGAAGUGGGAAUUGCAAAUAA